CCCGUGCGCACGCGCGGGGACCCGCCCCGCCGGCUCGCGCUGGUAUUUUGCUUUCUCUUUCCGGCCUCCACCCCCCCCCCCCACUCUCUCUCUCGGACCCGCGGGACCACAAUGCUCCGCGCCUCUUGUCAUUGGGAGGCGCAGUAAAGUGGGGGUCACUGGAAAAGAAAAGAAUUCUAUGGAUAACAGGAAAAGCCCCAGAGUUGGUGCUGUGUUCCCAACCCUAGUCCAGCACAAACCUACGAGCCAAGGCAGCCAGUAUUUGGCCAUUCGUCCAUCCAUCUGCAUAUCCCAGGGAUGCACGAACAGAGAACAGUUCAGCCUCUCAGCCGCCUUCAAUAGAGCAAUGAGAAAGAAGUUAUUUGGGGGAGACUGCUUUUCUCCAUCUGAUUCUAUAUUGACCCGAAUAAAUAAGUUUAAAUACUUCUAAAGUUCCUUUUUGAUCUGUAUAAUUUAUUCCUGUUUGAAAAAAUAAAAAAGAUUAUCCAU
rnacentral:lncRNA from 1 species